rnacentral:tRNA from 1 species
UCCCUGGUGGUCCAGUGGUUAGGACUCUGUGCUUUCACGGCUGAGAGCCAGGGUUCAGUCCCUGGUCAGGGAA